GGGAGGCGGAGAGCCUCAGUCACGGCGUCGAGACCAGACAGGGAGGCGGGCUGCGGGUCAGCUGCCGCGGGUCCAGCGAGGUUCCAGUCUACCUGCGUCCCCCCCGCGCUCAGGGAGCGAAGCCACGAUGUUCGGGUCGUCACGAAGCAAAUUUGAGGAAGACCCCUUCUUCUCAGAUUCCUUUUCUUCCCACAAUGAAAAUAUGCGUCAAAUGAUGAAAAGUUUGGCUCAGCCUUUUGGACAACUCCUCAGCAUCGCCAAUAAUGGGAGAGGCCGUCGUGAUGAAGACGAGGAUGAUGAUAAACUUUCUUGUUCUGCCAGGAGUCAUGCCCUUGUUCCCUUUGGCAGUUGGGGUGGCCCUUCUUCCUUUGGAUCUUUUGGCAGUUGGGGUGCAAUGAACACAGAUGUCAGCCCUUUUCAGGCAAUGGACAGAAUGAUGUCAAAUAUGCGACACAAUAUGCAGGAUUUACAAAGACGUUUUAGCGACAUGUCAGUCGACCCAGAAGGGCACUCCUUCUGUGCUUCUUCCAUCAUGACCUACUCCAAAGUCGGCAAUGAGCCUCCAAAGGUUUUCCAAGCUUCCUCUCAGACGCGAAGAGCUCCCGGUGGGAUUAAGGAAACCAGGAAAUCCUUGAAAGAUUCUGACAGUGGGAUAGAGAAGAUGGCUGUGGGUCAUCACAUUUAUGAUCGUGCUCACGUUGUAAAAAGGCUGAAGAACAACAAAACUGGUGACCAGGAAUUGAACCAAGAGUUUAUCAAUAUGCGUGAAGCUGAUGCCCAUGACUUCAAUGACGAAUGGAGAAACCAGAUUCUGAAACUCAUUCAAGCAGGAAGGAAUAACCUGGAAAGCUCAAGAUUAAGAAAUGGUCACUCUGACAGUUCAGUGAACUAUGAAGAUAUUUCUAGAAGGCUGUAGACGUUGGGAGAAUUGCUGCAGAAGGUGGAAGGCUUCCCAGAACCAUCGUUGGACCCAGCGGAAGGCUACAAAGGAGAGACCUCGCCAAAGAUCAGCCAUCGAAAGCCCAAGAAGACCCAGGGCUUUUGAAGACAAUCUCCAUAUAAAGGGAUCAUCUGUCAAAUCCAACAAAAAAUAAAUUUCCGUGCAUUUGACUUGAGUUCUUAUUUGUUCGUUGUAACUGAACAAAGGGGAUGGUGCUGUUGAGUAUGCGACCGUGUUGGUUCCUCGUCACGAUUUGCCUUGCUUUACUCUGACUCUUCUUUAGAACCUCAUUGGCCUUGCUUUGUUACCCCUGCCCCAUUUUGACUGCCUAAGAAUCAGUGCCUGGCUCUCAGCAAUUAAGGGAAAUCAUUAAUGUGGAAGCACUUUUGUUAGCACAAAGGAAUGCAUCAUUUUAAAAGCUUUAAAGAUAUUAAAAUGAUCGUUUUGCUUUUCUGACUUUCCUGCGGCCACUUUUUAAGCAGGUUUGGCUAAUGUGUCUAGUUUUAUAGUCUCCAAAUAAAAUUUAUAUGAAAAUAAGAUCUUGUGAAAUAAAAUCUUUUCUUCAGUGGU